AUGUCUGGCCCAUACGUGCUCCAAACUGCUGGUCUCCUGAGUUGUUCAAGCUACAGCUCUAAGCUCUCCCCUAACCAACUCUUCCUAAGUGGAGACCAGAGCACCCACCAUCUCCCUGAUGGAACAGUCCCCUUUCUGUCCCAGACCCCCAACACCACUGAAGUUUCCACACUCAGGCCAGAGGCCGCCUCCAGGAAGCCUUCUCUGAGGGAACCCAGAACUGGCGAGGACCAGCACACCUGCCACACCACUCACGGGGGCUGGCUCAGCUCUGAAGGAGAGGCUGCUGGCAACUGCAACAUGGGAAGGAGAGCUGGACAGAGAGGAGGACUUCCAGGGAGCCGAGACCCGGAGUCCAGGCACCUGGCACACAGGAGGAGUCCGGGGCAGGGCCAGGACCAACCCCCUCCCCAGACUGCUUGCCCCGGCCACACAUCUGUGCAAACACCCCUCCCCUCAGCUUGCCAGAGACAGACAGACAGGAGGAUGGCAAGGAGAGGGACUCCUCCAGGCUCUCGCAGGCUCCAGUGGGGGUGGCAGGAGCCUCAAGAUUUUCUUAUCUGUAGAGCAAGACAGAAAUUUCAAAGGAAUGGAAGAAUAAUAUAAUAAAACUAAGGGUUAUUAACAACUAUUAUUAUUAAUGAUUAUUCUUUAUUAUUGAGCUGUUACUAUGUGCUAAGAUAAUAUUAAGCCUUUUGUUAUUAACUCUUCUUCUUUAUUUUUUUUUUAGACAGGGUCUCACUAUGUAGUUCAGGCUGACCUUUAACUCAC
rnacentral:lncRNA from 1 species